rnacentral:rRNA from 1 species
AGGACGAACGCUGGCGGCGUGCCUAACACAUGCAAGUCGAACGGGACCAGGGGCAACUCUGGUUCAGUGGCGGACGGGUGCGUAACACGUGAGGAACAUGACCUUCGGCGGGGGAUAGCCGGCCCAACGGCCGGGUAAUACCGCGUACGACCACUUUGGGACAUCCCUGGGUGGUGAAAGCAGCAAUGCGCCGAUGGAGUGCCUCGCGGCCUAUCAGCUAGUUGGUGAGGUAACGGCUCACCAAGGCGACGACGGGUA